AUUGAACGCUGGCGGCAGGCCUAACACAUGCAAGUCGAGCGAGCGGCGGACGGGUGGGUAAUGUAUGGGGAUCUGCCCGAUAGAGGGGGAUAACUACUGGAACCGGUGGCUAAUACCGCAUAAUAUCAGAUGAAGUCUUAGGGGAUUAGCUAGUAGGUGGGGUAAAGGCUCACCUAGGCGACGAUCGCUAGCUGGUCUGAGAGGAGGAGCAGCCACACUGGGACUGAGACACGGCCCAGACUCCUACGGUAGGCAGCAGUGGGGAAUAUUGCACAAUGGGCGAAAGCCUGAUGCAGCCAGGCCGCGUGUAUGAAGAAGGUCUUCGGGUUGUAAAGUACUUUCAUCGAGGAGGCGUUACUCGCAGAAGAAGCACCGGCUAACUCCGUGCCAGCAGCCGCGGUAAUUC
rnacentral:rRNA from 1 species